rnacentral:rRNA from 1 species
AACGCGAAGAACCUUACCUGGGCUUGACAUGCAUCUCUAAGUCGGUGAAAGCCGGCGAGUCCCGCAAGGGACAAUUUGCACAGGUGCUGCAUGGCUGUCGUCAGCUCGUGUCGUGAGGUGUUGGGUUAAGUCCCGCAACGAGCGCAACCCCUGUCUUCAGUUGCUACCAGGUAACGCUGAGCACUCUGAAGGGACUGCCGGGGACAACUCGGAGGAAGGUGGGGAUGACGUCAAGUCAUCAUGGUCCGUACGCCCAGGGCUACACACGUGCUACAAUGGCCGGGACAAACCGCUGCGAGCCCGCGAGGGGGAGCCAAUCGGAGAAACCCGGUCUAAGUUCGGAUUGCAGUCUGCAACUCGACUGCAUGAAGCUGGAAUCGCUAGUAAUCGUGGAUCAGCUACGCCACGGUGAAUACGUUCCCGGGCCUUGUACACACCG